UGGUAAUCACCUGGCUUCUGCUCUUAAUUGUUGUUUAUUUAUCUCCCAAACCAGAAAGGAAGCCCCUUCAGGCCAAGGAUCCUGUCUGCAGCACCUGGAAAAGUGCCUGGAACAUAGUAGGUACUGAAAACAGCUGCAUGAGCAACAAAUAACAUGACCAAGAGAGUCACAAGGAAAUGCAGGAGCCGCAGAAGCCACUCACACAAUGACUGGCCUCCCAGCGACUAAGGAAGCCCCUCUGCAUUUCAAGAAGCCUGAAUGGAGCAGCCUGGAGUGCUCCUAAACUCACUGGUUACACUUCUCUGAAUUUUUUUGGUUGCAUAAAUUUGGGAAGCCACCUAGGAGAUAAGAGGAUUGACCUGUUGCAACAGUGGAAAAGAAUGUGUAUUAUCACUGCUGCCCUUUAGAUGUGGUCCAAAGGUGGUUGUUGUUGCUGUUCGGUCACUAAGUCAUGUCCGACUCUUUGUUACCCCAUGGACUGCACCAUACCAGGCUACCCUGUCCUUCACUGUCUCCCAGAGAUUGCUCAAAUUCAUGUCCAUUGAGUCUGUGAUGCCAUCUCAUUCUCUGCCGUCCUCUUCUCCUCUGUCCUUCAAUCUUUCCCAGCUUCAGGAUCUUUUCCAAUGAGUAGGCUCUUCGCAUCAGGUGGCAAAGUAUUGGAACUUCAGCAUCAGUCCUUCCAAUGAAUAUUCAGGGUUGAUUUCCUUUAGGAUUGACUGGUUUGAUCUCCUUGCUGUCCAACAGACUCUCAAGAGUCUUCUCCAGCACCACUGUUGCUGCUGCUGCUGCUGCUGUCACUUCAGUCUUGUCCAACUCUGUGCGACCCCAUUGACGGCAGCCCACCAGGCUCUCCCGUCCCUGGGAUUCUCCAGGCAAGAACACUGGAGCGGGUUGCCAUUUCCUUCUCCAAUCCAUGAAAGUGAAAAGUGAAAGUGAAGUCGCUCAGUUGUGUCCGACUCUUAGCGACCUCAUGGACUGCAGCCUACCAGGCUCCUCCAUCCAUGGGAUUUUCCAGGCAAGAGUACUGGAGUGGGUUGCCAUUGCCUUCUCCGAGCACCACCAUUAGAAAGCAUCAAUUCUUUGGUGCUCAGCCUUCUUUAUGGUCUAACUCUCACAUCUGUACAUGACUACUGGAAAAACCAUAGCUUUGAGUAUAUGGACCAUUGUCGGUUUCGCUGUUUUAAAGGUGAAGUUUCAGGUUCAACGAGGUGUCCCCUCAGCUCCUCUGAUGGGUGCCACUCUGGGCACCCUUCUGCCAAGGUGACUUGGAGUGAGACUGCAAGCCCUCGAAGGCGGGGAUCCAAUCAGAGGAGGGGGCCAUUGCUGAGGAGCCUGAGCUUGCUUGCUCUGAGCCAGUCCCUGGGAGGUCAGCCGUCAACAGUCACACACAUCUGCUCUUCUGAAUUAUUCAAGUCUUGGAAUAAUAAUUACAAAAGGGAGGCAACUCAUAAAACUGGGAUCAAAAAAAAAAGGAAAAGCUGAGCCAGAUCUGUACUGGAUUAUCAAGGCAUCUGAUCAGAAAAGAAAUCAGAGGCUCAUCAGAAAUCAGAUUUGGGCUGAAAGAAAACAACUCAUGGUCUUGUGAGGG
ensembl:lncRNA